rnacentral:tRNA from 1 species
GGCUUUAUAGUCAAAAAUGAUAUUAGACUGCAAUUCUAAAGGAGUAGAAUGUUCUACUGAGGCCU